ACUCCUACGGAAGGCAGCAGUAGGGAAUAUUGGACAAUGGGGCGAAAGCCUGAUCCAGCAAUGCCGCGUGAGUGACGAAGGAUUUCGGUCUGUAAAGCUCUUUUGUGAGGGAAGAAAUGACGCGUGAGGAAAUGCUCGCGUCUUGACGGUACCUCAUGAAUAAGGGACGGCUAACUCCGUGCCAGCAGCCGCGGUAAUG
rnacentral:rRNA from 1 species